AACAAAUCUCACUUUAUGGAGAGAAAAUUAAUCCAUAUGAAUAACUAAGUUAUGUCAGUGUUUCAACACAAAAUCUGCAUAAAUAUUUGACUGGUAAUAGUGUUCAUUCAUGUGAUACUUCAUGCUCCUCAGUUUCCCUUUGUCAGGCUCAUCCUUAUGUAAGCUUUCAGGCACCCUGAGAUGGUGCAUUCCAGAGUUAGCAGAAGUGUGCAUGCCACAACUAGAGCAGUGGAUGGGAAGAGGUUGCCUAGAAUUGCCUCCUAAUUUCGUUUCCUCUCCCCACCAAGGGGUAAUUGCUGAACCACCAACAGCUAAAUAGAUCCAUCAACAGAUGCCAAGGCUGCUGCCAGGCUUCGGUCUUGUCUUUCCCAGUAGGGGCCACUACAGAGCAUCAAAUAGCAAGGAAGACUGGGAAGAGAGAAUUGAGUACAGCAUAACAGAAGGAACCAGGAAAAGGCAUCAUGCAGAUGGAAUGUCUUCCAGCUCAGAAGAGAAACUCAUUAUGUUUUCACUUCAUGGCAUGGAGGUAAGGGUGACUGCAUGUGAAACCGUCUGGGAUACCACCAAGUGAGAAGGAACUCAGGACCCACUUCCAAGCUGGAAGAAAAAUGCAAAGAAAAGCAGAAGGCUAUCUUUAGCAUGCCAAGUACUUUAGAUGAAAAGAUGAGAUCAUCCGAAAGGUAAAGGAGACUUUCCUCUAGAAUAUAUGUCUCUGAUGUCAUGAAGUAGCUGGUGUGAAAACUU
rnacentral:lncRNA from 1 species